rnacentral:misc_RNA from 1 species
GUGAAUCAUCAAAUCUUUGAACGCACAUUGCACUCCCUGGUAUUCCGGGGAGUAUGCCUGUUUGAGGGUCGUUAGAAGAAACAUCGAAGCAUCGCUCUUUUUUUGAGGGGGAUAGCGUCAGAAUUGAGCCGUCUUUCAAAUGUUAAAUUCUGUAAAAGUGGCUUAAAGUUCAUCCAUCCGGUACGAUUAAAACGUAUUUAAGAUCAAUUUUGAUCU